UCUUAAAUCCUAUAAUUUUAAGUAAAAUCUGCUCAAUGUUUAUUAAUAGCCGCAGAAAUUUUACUGUGCUAAGGUAGCAUAAUCAUUAGUUUCCUAACUAGAAACUAGCAUGAACGAUUAAACACUUUAUAUACUUUUCUAACUUACUUAAUUUAAUCUUUACCAAGUAUAAAAUAUACUUAUCAAUUAAUUAGACGAUAAGACCCUGUUGAACUUAACUUAAGUUUCGCUGGGGCAGCAUAUUAAAUAUAAUUUUAAUUCUUAUACUAAAAUUAAUGAACCAAUAUAAUUGAUUCCAUGACUAAGUUACCACAGGGAUAACAGCGUAAUAUAUUUUUAAACUCUUAUAAAAAAAUAAGAUUACGACCUCGAUGUUGAAUUAUUUAUCUCACAUAACGCAAGAGUCAUGUGAGAUGGUCUGUUCGACCAUCAAAAUUUUACA
rnacentral:rRNA from 1 species